CCUGCCCAGUGACAAACGUUAAACGGCCGCGGUAUUCUGACCGUGCAAAGGUAGCAUAAUCAUUUGUUCUUUAAAUAAGGACUUGUAUGAAUGGCCACACGAGGGUUUUACUGUCUCUUACUUCCAAUCAGUGAAAUUGACCUUCCCGUGAAGAGGCGGGAAUAAGAAAAUAAGACGAGAAGACCCUAUGGAGCUUUAACUAGUUAGCUUAAAGAAAAAAAAACUUUACCACCAAGGAAUAACACUAAUCUUAAUAAACUAACAGUUUCGGUUGGGGUGACCUCGGAGAAUAAAAAACCCUCCGAGCGAUUUUAAAAACAAGACACACAAGUCAAAUUGAACUAUCGCUUAUUGAUCCAAAAUUUGAUCAACGGAACAAGUUACCCUAGGGAUAACAGCGCAAUCCUAUUCAAGAGUUCAUAUCGACAAUAGGGUUUACGACCUCGAUGUUGGAUCAGGACACCCCGAUGGUGCAACCGCUAUCAAAGGUUCGUUUGUUCAACGAUUAAAGUCCUACGUGAUCUGAGUC
rnacentral:rRNA from 1 species